rnacentral:rRNA from 1 species
GAGGGUAGGCAAAAGGGGGAUUUUUGUCGUUUGUGGAUCACUUGGAUAAACACAACAACUCGGGUAUAUAAAGUAUUCAAUAGUUAUAGUAAAUUACUACACAACCUGUACAAGUAGAAAUUGAUUCUUAAUCGUAAAAUGCUUGCCCAAGUAGUUGUAUCAAAUCCAAAUCUUCACAAAUUUUCAAUAAAACAAAGAUCAACUAAUUGA